AGCUUACCACCUGGGCAAUAGCAAACUGACCACUCAUUCCAAACCAAACUCCAGGAAAAGAGAAAAACCAAGGCUUCCUGAAAAACUGCCUCUUUCAGAUUUCAAAAUAAUUGCAGAAGCACAAAUGAACUUUGCCUUGGAAGAGAAUGUUGCUAAGGAGGGGUUCACGUUAUCAUUCAGCUUUGGAUUAUGCUUUUCAGCGUAGGUCAAAGGAACUCUCAAGAAACAGCUGCUCCACAAGUGUGCUGAUACAAGAGACUUCAGACUGGAUUCACACUGGAUGACCGGCACAACACUUUGUGGUGAUGCAUGCCUUCUCCUUAAUCUCAGUGCUCAAAUUAAAUCUUCCCCCCACUAGGGGACAAAGUCAGCUGAAGACAAGGGAGAGUGAAAAAAAAAAUUAUAGCGUAGCCUAAUGUUGGGUCAAGUUAAGAAAAAAAAAGAGAAGAAAAGAAAAGAAA
ensembl:lncRNA